GACGAACGCUGGCGGCGUGCUUAACACGUGCAAGUCGAACGGAAAGGCCCUGCUUUUGUGGGGUGCUCGAGUGGCGAACGGGUGAGUAACACGUGAGUAACCUGCCCUUGACUUUGGGAUAACUUCAGGAAACUGGGGCUAAUACCGGAUAGGAGCUCCUGCUGCAUGGUGGGGGUUGGAAAGUUCGGCGGUUGGGGAUGGACUCGCGGCUUAUCAGCUUGUUGGUGGGGUAGUGGCUUACCAAGGCUUUGACGGGUAGCCGGCCUGAGAGGGUGACCGGCCACAUUGGGACUGAGAUACGGCCCAGACUCCUACGGGAGGCAGCAGUGGGGAAUAUUGCACAAUGGGCGGAAGCCUGAUGCAGCAACGCCGCGUGCGGGAUGACGGCCUUCGGGUUGUAAACCGCUUUCGCCUGUGACGAAGCGUGAGUGACGGUAAUGGGUAAAGAAGCACCGGCUAACUACGUG
rnacentral:rRNA from 1 species